rnacentral:tRNA from 1 species
GCGGUUGUGGCGGAAUUGGCAGACGCGCUAGGUUCAGGUCCUAGUCCGGGCAACCGGGUGGAGGUUCGAGUCCUCUCAACCGCA